CCCAGCCAGCCUCGGGCUUGACAGGCACCAAGCCGGUGCGGCUCAGUGCAUGAAUGACAGCAUCAGCCUCGGUGCCAAAGGUCCGACAAGUUGCAGCUCUCCCCAGUUCUUGGAAAAUAGCAGAAAGGCAAUAUUUGUUUGAAAAGAAGCAUCUUCUAUUUAAUCAUCAAAUUAAUAUCCUCCAAGAAAAAAUAACCUACAUGGUCUCCCAUUCAGUUCACAACUGGGUCACAGCCCACGCAGUGUGGCUCGAGAGCCGCGUGAAAUGCUGGAAGCCAUCACUCACUCUCCAGCAGUAGGUUUGUCAUGCAAGCAGGACAGUUCAGCAUAGAUAAAAAUAUAAAAAUAUGCAGCACAGGAGCAGCAGCAUUGUUCACACAGGGGUGUGGCUUGGCCAGGUCAUGCAAUGGAACCUGUUAAGGGAGGCAGGAGAGUAGAAAACAGGCACACCCACCAUUAGCACCACUGUUAUAUUGUCUGGUAGCUGCAUUUAAAAUCAUGUUCCACUCCCUAGAGAUAAUAGCAAAUGAUAGAUCUCUUCUGAUUCCAGCAUUGUCAUUGUGGCAGGAAAUAAAGAAAUUUUAGUGGCAGAAAUAAUUUGUGGAGUGCAAGUUUUUCCGUAAGUGUGAGGAAUGUACAUAUUUCAGGGAGUGGGAGCAUCAAGGACAGGAAAUCACUACAUGUAUUUGACUGACUUCUUUUAGUUUACAAUGGGGAAGAUGAGAUAUUUCAUCUUUGUUCCUCCACAGGAAAGGAAACAUAGAAGAGUAAGAAGGGCAAAAUCAAUAUUCUGCUUCAGCUCUAUCUUAUGAUAGAAGACCAGAAUAGCAAGUGGUUCACUUCAGCCCUGCUUAAAGGCAUUUGUCUAAAAUACCUGCACAGAUGCUACAGAAGUUCUCAGCUGUUUGGCUUCUUCCUUCUUUCAGAUCUGGUUUAAGACCUCCAUGCUCUCUCAUCUCAGAAGGAUGUACAUGGGAAUUUAGCAGUUCUUAACUCUCACAGCCCACUGCCUGUUCACACACACAGCUGGGACAGGGAACUCUCCAUACAAGUUGUUUAAUAGUCAUGCAAGAGUAUCUGAGUAGUUCCAGCAUCAGUAUUUUUAUAGGAAAGCACCAUCACGCUUCUCAGGAUGAUGAAUCAUCAGUCACUUCAUGCACCUUAACAUCUUGAAUGCUAUUUUGACGGUGGUUCUACACUGAAAAGGAUUUUUGU